rnacentral:rRNA from 1 species
AUUGAACGCUGGCGGCAGGCCUAACACAUGCAAGUCGAACGAGUGGCGGACGGGUGAGUAUUGUCUGGGAAACUGCCCGAUGGAGGGGGAUAACUACUGGAAACGGUAGCUCAUACCGCAUACAAUCGGAUGUGCCCAGAUGGGAUUAGAUUGUAGGUGGGGUAACGGCUCACCUAGGCGACGAUCCCUAGCUGGUCUGAGAGGAUGACCAGCCAGACGGGAACGGAGACACGGGCCAGAAUCCUACGGGAGGAAGCAGUGGGGAAUAUUGCACAAUGGGCGCAAGCCUGAUGUAGCCAUGCCGAGUGGAUGAAGAAGGCAUUCGGGUUGUAAAGUACUUUCAGCGGGGAGGCGUUACCCGCAGAAGAAGCACCGGCUAACUCCGUGCCAGCAGCCGCGGUAAGAC